GUGGCUCAGUGGGUAGAGCACCAGCUCCAUAUACUGAGGGUAGCGGGUUCAAACCCCGCC
rnacentral:tRNA from 1 species